rnacentral:rRNA from 1 species
GUGCAGCAGGCGAGAAACCUUCGCAAUGCGGGAAACCGCGACGAGGGGACUCCCAGUGCCUACGCUCAGCGUAGGCUGUUCCCGAGCCUAGAAAGCUCGGGGAGUAAGGGCUGGGUAAGACGGGUGCCAGCCGCCGCGGUAAUACCCGCAGCCCGAGUGGUGGCCACUAUUAUUGGGCCUAAAGCGUCCGUAGCCGGCCCGGUAAAUGCCUGGGUAAAUCGUGAGGCCUAACCUCACGAAUUCCGGGUAGACUGCCGGGCUAGGGACCGGAGGAGGGAGAGGGUACUCCAGGGGUAGGGGUGAAAUCCUGUAAUCCCUGGAGGACCACCGGUGGCGAAGGCGCUCUCCUAGGACGGGUCCGACGGUGAGGGACGAAAGCCAGGGGAGCGAACCGGAUUAGAUACCCGCGUAGU